CUUUGACCUUCAUCAUAUGUUUGUGAAGGAUGCAAGUAUGCAAUAAAAUAGGAUUUUAAUUUUUUUUAAUUUUUUUCAAAAUCUAUGGGUUAACCCCUAUGAAAAUAUUUAAUUUUUCUGUAAAUGCUCUAUAUACGGAAGCCUAUGAUCUUUAGUGUUGUUUUAAAAUUUCUAAACACAUCUACAUUUCUAUUAAUGUAUAUUGAACUCUCUUUCAUUGUACAUGGGCAUCGUUUAAAUUGUUUGUCAAUAAAUUUAGUAAAACUUCAUAAUACUCCCUAAAUUGGUUGACUAACCACUAUAAAAUCGCUAUUCUCUAAAAAAACGGAGACAACAAAGGUUCUAAACCUCUUUGACCUUCAUCAUAUGUUCGUGAAAGAUGCAACUAUGCACUAAAAUAAAAUUUUAAUUUUUUUCGAAUUUUUCUCACAAUCUAUGGACUAACCCUACGAAAAUUUUAAUUUUUCAAUAAAUGCUCUAUAUACUGAAGCCUAUGAUCUUUAAUGUUGUUUUAAAAUUU